rnacentral:rRNA from 1 species
AUGGCCACCAAUAGGGCACCAGGACCAGAUAACAUUCCUGUCGAAUUUUAUCAAAUAUGUUGGGAUAUUGUAAAGGACGAUAGCAUGUCCCUUUUUAGAAACUUUCAUAAUGGGACGCUUGAUGUUCAACGUCUUAAUUAUGGAGUGAUCACUUUACUGCCCAAAGUGUCGGGAGCUGACAAAAUUCAGCAGUUUAGGCCAAUUUGUCUCCUGAGGUGCCCAUAUAAGUUCAUUACUAAAGUAAUGGACCGUAGGGUGGAGGUAUAUGUUGAUAAGUUGAUUAGCUCCACCCAGAAUGCGUUUGUUAAGGGAAGAAACAUCAUGGAUGGGGUGCUCUCUUUACAUGAAAUUUUGAAUUACACUCAUGUUAAAAAAGAGUUGGCAUAG